GCCCUGUGUCAAGGGUGCACUAUGCAUGAGCAUCGAAAGGGAAUCGGGUUAAUAUUCCUGAACCGGGACAUGGCGGCGGACGACAACAUUAGGAAAUCAGGAGACGUCGUCCAGGGCCCCAGGAAGAGUUAUCUUUUCUUAUUAACAACUUGCCCACCCUGAAAUCGGCUCAACCAGAGAUAGGGUCUAGCAGCUGGAAGAGCAUCGCACGUCUUGCGGUGUCCGGUGCGCCCUCGACGGCCCUUGAAAAUCUAGAGGACCGAGUACCGUCCAUGCCCGGUCAUACUCAUAACC
rnacentral:ncRNA from 1 species